rnacentral:rRNA from 1 species
GACGAACGCUGGCGGCGUGCUUAACACAUGCAAGUCGAACGGAAAGGCCCUGCUUGCAGGGUACUCGAGUGGCGAACGGGUGAGUAACACGUGGGUCAUCUGCCCUGCACUUCGGGAUAAGCCUGGGAAACGGGGUCGAAUACCGGAUAGGAGCCAUUUUUAGUGUGAUGGUUGGAAAGUUUUUUCGGUGUAGGAUGAGCUCGCGGCCUAUCAGCUUGUUGGUGGGGUAAUGGCCUACCAAGGCGGCGCCGGGUAGCCGGCCUGAGAGGGUGGACGGGCACAUUGAGACUGGGACACGGACCAGACGCCGACGGGAGGCAGCAGUGGGGAAUAUUGCACAAUGGGCGCAGGCCUGAUGCAGCGACGCCGCGUGGGGGAGGACGGCCUACGGGUUGUAAACGUCAUGCGCUAGGGACGAAGCUGUUUGUGACGGUACCUAGAUAAGAAGCACCGGCUAACUACGUG